rnacentral:rRNA from 1 species
UGGGGAAUAUUGGACAAUGGGCGCAAGCCUGAUCCAGCCAUGCCGCGUGAGUGAUGAAGGCCCUAGGGUUGUAAAGCUCUUUCACCGGUGAAGAUAAUGACGGUAACCGGAGAAGAAGCCCCGGCUAACUUCGUGCCAGCAGCCGCGGUAAUACGAAGGGGGCUAGCGUUGUUCGGAAUUACUGGGCGUAAAGCGCACGUAGGCGGACAUUUAAGUCAGGGGUGAAAUCCCGGGGCUCAACCCCGGAACUGCCUUUGAUACUGGGUGUCUAGAGUUCGAGAGAGGUGAGUGGAAUUCCGAGUGUAGAGGUGAAAUUCGUAGAUAUUCGGAGGAACACCAGUGGCGAAGGCGGCUCACUGGCUCGAUACUGACGCUGAGGUGCGAAAAGCGUGGGGGAGCAAAACAGGAUUAGAUACCCCUGGUAGUCCACGCCGUAAACGAUGGAAGCCAGCUGUCGGCAAGUUUACUUGUCGGUGGCGCAGCUAACGCAUUAAGCUU